rnacentral:rRNA from 1 species
AGGGUUUGAUUCUGGCUCAGGAUGAACGCUGGCGGCGUGCUUAACACAUGCAAGUCGAACGAAGCAUUUAGAACAGAUUAUUUCGGUAUGAAGUUCUUUAUGACUGAGUGGCGGACGGGUGAGUAACGCGUGAGUAACCUGCCUUGUACUGGGGGAUAACAGUUGGAAACGGCUGCUAAUACCGCAUAAGCGCACGAGAGGACAUCCUCUUGUGUGAAAAACUCCGGUGGUACAGGAUGGGCCCGCGUCUGAUUAGCUGGUUGGCAGGGUAACGGCUUACCAAGGCGACGAUCAGUAGCCGGUCUGAGAGGAUGAACGGCCACAUUGGAACUGAGACACGGUCCAA